AGGGAGAUGGCUCAGUGGGUAAGAGCACUUGCUAGACAGGCAUGAGGACCUGAGUUCAAAUCCCAGUGACCCAU
rnacentral:tRNA from 1 species